rnacentral:rRNA from 1 species
CCGCAAGGGUGACCCAGCAACGCCGCGUGGAGGAUGAAUGUCGUAAGAUUGUAAACUCCUGUUAGAGGGGAAGAAUAGUACCGGUUGGACCGGUAUAUGACUGUACCCUCAGAGAAAGCCCCGGCUAACUACGUGCCAGCAGCCGCGGUAAUACGUAGGGUGCGAGCGUUAAUCGGAAUUACUGGGCGUAAAGCGUGCGCAGGCGUUUUGUUAAGUCUGAUGUGAAAGCCCCGGGCUCAACCUGGGAAUGGCAGUGGNAACUGGCAAGCUGGAGUGCGGCAGAGGUGGGUGAAAUGCCGCGUGUAGCAGUGAAAUGCGUAGAGAUGCGGAGGAACACCGAGGGCGAAGGCAGCCCCCUGGGCCGACACUGACGCUCACGCACGAAAGCGUGGGGAGCAAACA